GAUGCUUCUUUUGAAUUUUACCUGAGGACAUUUACUUCCUCCUCGACACUGCAAAGUACAGGAGGGACUGAGCUGCGAGAGGGCAGAUGGCAUUCCCUGGCAAUGUUCUACUCCAUGAGUUCCUUUUGUGGGGAUGUUUGCAAAGGUGUUCCCUUGACUUUCUCGCCAGCCGGUCUAUUUUUAGGAAUAUUUUUGAGGACUUAGCUGAAUCAUCUGCUUUCCCUACCAACUCUUCUGAGAAAUGCAGGGACCUGCAGGCUAAUAAGCCAAUUUCUUCUCAUGACAAUGACAAGCAAAAUAGGACAAGCUCAACUGCACAAAUACAUUUCAAGCCUCUGCUGCUAAUAUUCCACUGGCCAAGGCCAAAGGCAACGCGACGGAAUGAAAGUAUCAACUUUGGAGUUGAACAAAUGGAAUUUCAUGUUUUAGUUUUCAACCACUUACAAGCUUCAGUUUCCUGUUCCUGAGUUCCCUCCACAGGAAGAAGCAGAGACACCAGGAAUGAUUAUGCAUAAAAGAAAGACCUUGUGAAGAUACAAUGACAAGGCAGCCACCUGAGAGACAGGAGAGGGAGAUAUCAGGAGAAACCAACCUGCCACACCUUGAACUUGAACAACCAGCCUCCAGAACUGUGAGAAAAUACACUUCUGUUGUUGAAGCCACGUAGCCU